UACAGAGGUGGCAAGCGUUGUUCGGAAUUACUGGGCGUAAAGGGCGCGUAGGCGGCCUUCUCAGUCGGACGUGAAAUCCCCAGGCUUAACUUGGGAACUGCGUCCGAUACUGGAUGGCUUGAGUGCGGGAGAGGGAUGUGGAAUUCCAGGUGUAGCGGUGAAAUGCGUAGAUAUCUGGAGGAACACCGGUGGCGAAGGCGGCAUCCUGGACCGACACUGACGCUGAGGCGCGAAAGCUAGGGGAGCAAACGGG
rnacentral:rRNA from 1 species